UACGUAGGCAGCAAGCGUUGUUCGGAAUUACUGGGCGUAAAGCGUGUGUAGGCGGUGCUCUAAGUUCGGUGUGAAAUCUCCCGGCUUAACUGGGAGGGUGCGCCGGAAACUGGAGUGCUCGAGCGUGGGAGAGGAAAGCGGAAUUCCUGGUGUAGCGGUGAAAUGCGUAGAUAUCAGGAGGAACACCGGUGGUGUAGACGGCUUUCUGGACCAUAGCUGACGCUGAGACACGAAAGCGUGGGUAGCAAACAGG
rnacentral:rRNA from 1 species